UACAUGGGGUGCAAACGUUGCUCGGAAUUACUGGGCGUAAAGCGCGCGUAGGUGGUUCGUUAAGUUGGAUGUGAAAUCCCCGGGCUCAACCUGGGAACUGCAUUCAAAACUGACGAGCUAGAGUAUGGUAGAGGGUGGUGGAAUUUCCUGUGUAGCGGUGAAAUGCGUAGAUAUAGGAAGGAACACCAGUGGCGAAGGCGACCACCUGGACUGAUACUGACACUGAGGUGCGAAAGCGUGGGGAGCAAACAGG
rnacentral:rRNA from 1 species